GUUGUUACCAGGAAGUUCAAAUGGAGACAUGUAGUGAGUUACCUAAAAAGGUCAUGCUGUGAUAAUGCAAUUCACUGGGAGAGAAAGCUUCGGGGCUCAGAAGCAAGGCUGGGCUGAAAACACAGAGGUCAAGGUCAUCUUAGAGGAGACACUGGGACCCGUACACACAGUCACAGAUAUGAGGUCCUACUUUGAUUAAUUACUGGUCCCUGCUACCUCCUACUAUGGGGUUCACGGCUUCAACCUACUUUCUCCAGCCUGCAUGAAAAAAGAAAAGGUACAAAUAUAGCCAAGAAAGACAAUUAAUUAC
rnacentral:lncRNA from 1 species